UCCCUGGUGGUCCAGUGGCUAAGACUCCGUGCUUCCAACGCAGAGGUCCUUGGUUCGAUUCCUGCUCAGGGAA
rnacentral:tRNA from 1 species